CCUACGGGAGGCAGCAGUGGGGAAUAUUGCACAAUGGGGGAAACCCUGAUGCAGCGACGCCGCGUGAGUGAAGAAGUAUUUCGGUAUGUAAAGCUCUGUCAGCAGGGAAGAAAAUGACGGUACCUGACCAAGAAGCCCCGGCUAACUACGUGCCAGCAGCCGCGGUAAUACGUAGGGGGCAAGCGUUAUCCGGAUUUACUGGGUGUAAAGGGAGCGUAGACGGCAGGGCAAGUCUGGAGUGAAAGGCGGGGGCUCAACCCCCGGACUGCUCUGGAAACUGCCAGGCUGGAGUGCAGGAGAGGUAAGUGGAAUUCCUAGUGUAGCGGUGAAAUGCGUAGAUAUCAGGAGGAACAUCGGUGGCGUAAGCGCUUUACUGGGCCGUAAUUGACACUGAGGAACGAAAGCCGGGGAGCGAAAGGGAUUAGAUACCCGGGUAGUC
rnacentral:rRNA from 1 species